rnacentral:rRNA from 2 species
GGGGCUGGCGGCGUGCCUAAUACAUGCAAGUCGAGCGGACAGAUGGGAGCUUGCUCCCUGAAGUCAGCGGCGGACGGGUGAGUAACACGUGGGCAACCUGCCUGUAAGACUGGGAUAACUUCGGGAAACCGGAGCUAAUACCGGAUAACACCGAGGACCUCAUGGUCCUUGGUUGAAAGAUGGCUUCGGCUAUCACUUACAGAUGGGCCCGCGGCGCAUUAGCUAGUUGGUGAGGUAACGGCUCACCAAGGCGACGAUGCGUAGCCGACCUGAGAGGGUGAUCGGCCACACUGGGACUGAGACACGGCCCAGACUCCUACGGGAGGCAGCAGUAGGGAAUCUUCCGCAAUGGACGAAAGUCUGACGGAGCAACGCCGCGUGAGCGAUGAAGGCCUUCGGGUCGUAAAGCUCUGUUGUUAGGGAAGAACAAGUACCGUUCGAAUAGGGCGGUACCUUGACGGUACCUAACCAGAAAGCCACGGCUAACUACGUGCCAGCAGCCGCGGUAAUACGUAGGUGGCAAGCGUUGUCCGGAAUUAUUGGGCGUAAAG